UCCUACGGGAGGCAGCAGUUAGGAAUCUUCCGCAAUGGACGGAAGUCUGACGGAGCGACGCCGCUUGGAGGAGGAAGCCCUUCGGGGUGUAAACUCCUGAACUGGGGACGAAAGCCCCGUGUAGGGGGAUGACGGUACCCAGGUAAUAGCGCCGGCCAACUCCGUGCCAGCAGCCGUGGUAAUACGGAGGGCGCGAGCGUUACCCGGAUUUACUGGGCGUAAAGGGCGUAUAGGCGGCCUGGGGCGUCCCAUGUGAAAGGCCACGGCUCAACCGUGGAGGAGCGUGGGAUACGCUCAGGCUAGAGGGUGGGAGAGGGUGGUGGAAUUCCCGGAGUAGCGGUGAAAUGCGCAGAUACCGGGAGGAACGCCGAUGGCGAAGGCAGCCACCUGGUCCACUUCUGACGCUGAGGCGCGAAAGCGUGGGGAGCAAACCGGAUUAGAUACCCGGGUAGUCCACGCCCUAAACGAUGCGCGCUAGGUCUUUGGGGUUUAUCUGGGGGCCGAAGCCAACGCGUUAAGCGCGCCGCCUGGGGAGUACGGCCGCAAGGCUGAAACUCAAAGGAAUUGACGGGGCCCCGCACAAGCGGCGGAGCAUGCGGAUUAAUUCGAUGCAACGCG
rnacentral:rRNA from 1 species